AGCAGUCGCCGCGGGAAUACGUAGGGGGCAAGCGUUAUCCGGAAUAACUGGGCGUAAAGGGUGCGCAGGUGGUUUAACAAGUUAGUGGUGAAAGGCAUAGGCUCAACCAAUGUAAGCCAUUAAAACUGUUUAACUUGAGUGCAGGAGAGGAAAGUGGAAUUCCUAGUGUAGCGGUGAAAUGCGUAGAGAUUAGGAGGAACACCAGUGGCGAAGGCGGCUUUUUGGCCUGUAACUGACACUGAGGCACGAAAGCGUGGGGAGCAAACAGGAUUAGAUACCCGUGUAGUCCCUGUCUCUUAUACA
rnacentral:rRNA from 1 species